GCUCACGUAGCUUAAUUAAAGCAUAACACUGAAGAUGUUAAGAUGGCCCUUAAACUGGUCCCGAAAGCA
rnacentral:tRNA from 1 species